UCUAAAGAAUGAAACUGAGUUCACAAUACAUUAAAUGGUGAUGGCCUGGAAUCUGAAGAUGCUGCUCGAGAUGAUCCCUCAGGAUAUGCUGAGAUAAGCAGAUGCUGCAGAAUGUCCUGCAGGAACAUUCCUUAGGACAUGGGGUUAUUGGUGAUAAAGAGGACUGAAGUUAUAUUUAAGAAAUACAUGCAGUGACUCAGAUCCUUAUCCAAGGAGGUCCUUCCUACAUUUUUGUAGCUAGCAUUUAAGAAAAAAGCAAGAAGGGAACUUUCAAAUUGUAUCUCAAUCCUACCACAUGGAAAAGGAAAAGGCAUCAACAAAUCCGGACACAUAUCCAGUGACUGGAUACCCUGGUUCCAGAACUGAGAUACUCCAUGCCGUGCGGCCAAGAAAAGAUACUCCUUUUUUUGUUCAAUGGUUUCCUGGUAAGUAUUUAGAUACAAGUGAAGAACAUUAAUUUAGAACUUAGGGUUUCCUUUUAGUGUAUGUUAAUUUUUUUAGGCAUCUAAAU